rnacentral:tRNA from 1 species
GGAUUGUGGAUCAGUGGUAGAGCACUAGCCUCACAUGUAUGAGGCACUGUGUUCAAUCCUCAGCACCA